rnacentral:tRNA from 2 species
AGCCUUAAAAGCUUAAACAACGAAGAGCAUUAA